UAAUAUGAAGUGUAAUCACAAUAAGUUGCAAACUUAUAAAUGCUAAGGCCGUAUUAA
rnacentral:tRNA from 1 species